AGUCAGCCUCCCCAUCUUCAUUUCUGUCACUCGGGUCGAGAUGCAGCCUCUGCAGAAUCCAAAGGCAGUCAGAACUCUUCACGGACUGUCCAGUCACCUGGACCUCAGGCUACCUGAGCUGUCAGAAAGUGACCCGCAGAUGGGAAGAGCAGGACAAGGUCCUCCCUAUCAGGAACAAUGGUUUCAGCUCUCCUAGGCAAACACCGUGCAUUCCUGGCUCUGGAAAACUG